rnacentral:rRNA from 1 species
AACGAACGCUGGCGGCAUUCCUAACACAUGCAAGUCGAACGAAGCCUUCGGGCUUAGUGGCGCACGGGUGCGUAACGCGUGGGAACCUGCCCCUUGGUUCGGAAUAACAGUUAGAAAUGACUGCUAAUACCGGAUGAUGACGAAAGUCCAAAGAUUUAUCGCCGAGGGAUGGGCCCGCGUAGGAUUAGCUAGUUGGUGAGGUAAUGGCUCACCAAGGCGACGAUCCUUAGCUGGUCUGAGAGGAUGAUCAGCCACACUGGGACUGAGACACGGCCCAGACUCCUACGGGAGGCAGCAGUGGGAAUAUUGGACAAUGGGCGAAAGCCUGAUCCAGCAAUGCCGCGUGAGUGAUGAAGGCCUUAGGGUUGUAAAGCUCUUUUACCAGGGAUGAUAAUGACAGUACCUGGAGAAUAAGCUCCGGCUAACUCCGUGCCAGCAGCCGCGGU